rnacentral:misc_RNA from 1 species
UACGGAGGGUGCGAGCGUUAAUCGGAAUUACUGGGCGUAAAGCGCGCGUAGGCGGCGUGAUAAGCCGGUUGUGAAAGACCCGAGCUCAACCUGGGAACGGCAUCAGGAACUGUCAUGCUAGAGUGCAGGAGAGGAAGGUAGAAUUCCCGGUGUAUCGGUGAAAUGCGUAGAGAUCGGGAGGAAUACCAGUGGCGAAGGCGGCCUUCUAGACUGACACCGACGCUGAGGUGCGAAAGCGUGGGUAGCAAACAGG